GGGGGCGUGGUCUAGCCUGGUAUGAGCCCGGUAGCUCCCUAUCCCGGGGUACAAUUCCUGCCUGGGGCGCAGGCGGUCCCGAGUUCAAAUCUCGGCGCCCCCACCA
rnacentral:tRNA from 1 species